CUUAGUUUCUCAAUGGUGUACCGUAAGCCUACUCUAGCUUGAUGCUCUCUGUUUACCCUCUGCGUUUUCCCUCCGUGCCUGACUUCCUUGUUUGUCCUCCCUCAGUGCCCUCCCGAGUUUUGCCCUUGCUGUUGCCAUGCAAUGAGGGAAAGUCCAAAUAAAAGAGGAGGCGUACAAUCUUACAUCAGAGCGUGGAUGGAACACUGUACAAGGGUACAAGUAUGUCAUCAGUGUUUGAACCUGACAGUAUUUCUCCAGCAAUGGUCAUGUGGUGACAUCAAUUACGGUGUUUUGAGAGGUGAUCAUUGAAGUCGGACAUCACUGAAGGCCUAGGUGGGAAACGCACGGCCCCCCCACAGUCGAGCAUGAAGAUUUUACCUGAGCAGGAGAAUAAAGUCGACAUCGGUGCUGAGGACCACCGCAUCCUCCUCCGCCGUCCUUUGGUGUCACCAUCAAAGCGCAGCUCAGGCCGCCGACGGAACCUGCCGCCAUGGCACUGGUGGCAGCGGCGGCUGGUGCUCCGCCGCCCACGCUGGCGGCGGCGGCAGCCCCAGCGAUGGCCCCGAUACCUCCCAUCAUGCAGCAGAGACCCCCCUGGGCCAGCUCCAGCUCGAUCUCGGCGUCCAUCUCGGCGUCCUCCUGGGCCUC